GACGAACGCUGGCGGCGUGCUUAACACAUGCGAGUCGAACGGAAAGGCCUUUUCGGAGGUACUCGAGUGGCGCACGGGUGAGUAACACGUGGGUGAUCUGCCCUGCACUCUGGGAUAAGCCUGGGAAACUGGGUCUAAUACCGGAUAGGACCGCACUUUAGUGUGUGUGGUGGAAAGUUUUUUCGGUGUAGGAUGAGCCCGCGGCCUAUCAGCUUGUUGGUGGGGUAAUGGCCUACCAAGGCGGCGACGGGUAGCCGGACUGAGAGGUUGGUCGGCCACAUUGGGACUGAGAUACGGCCCAGACUCCUACGGGAGGCAGCAGUGGGGAAUAUUGCACAAUGGGCGCAAGCCUGAUGCAGCGACGCCGCGUGGGGGAUGACGGCCUUCGGGUUGUAAACUCCUUUCGCCAGGGACGAAGCGUUUUGUGACGGUACCUGGAGAAGAAGCACCGGCUAACUACGUG
rnacentral:rRNA from 1 species